UCGCAGUACUCUGACUGUGCAAAGGUAGCAUAAUCAUUUGACUUUUAAUUGAAGUCUGGUAUGAAAGGAAAAACGUAUAUGAGCUGUAUCAAGUAUAAAUUUAUAUAAAUUAAUUAUGGGGUGAAAAUACCCCAAAUAAAAAAAAUAGACGAGAAGACCCUUAGAAUUUUUAGAAAAUAUUAUAAUUAGUGUAAUACGAUUUUUGUUGGGGCAACAUUUUUUCAUGCAACAAAAAUUAAAACUUUCCCACAAAGCGUUAUGUUAAAUCAAGAACAAAUUACCUUAGGGAUAACAGCAUAAUUUAUAGUUAAGUUUGUGACCUCGAUGUUGGAUUAGGGCUUAUUAAAGCUAGUCGUUUUAAUAUAAUAUGUUCUGUUCGAACUUUGCUCCCUACAUGAUCUGAGUUCAGACCGCGA
rnacentral:rRNA from 1 species